rnacentral:rRNA from 1 species
AGGGUUGGACGAGAUAAAGACUGUCUUUAUUUAAAUUAAAGUAGAAUUUAACUUUUAAGUCAAAAGGCUUAAAUUUUUAUAAAAGACGAGAAGACCCUAUAGAUCUUUAUUUAAUUAAUAUUUUAAUAAUUUAGGAUUGAUUUAAUUUAAAGUUUUAAUUAAAUUUUAUUGGGGUAAUAUAAAGAUUAAAAAAAUUCUUUUUGUUUAUUACAUUAAUUUAUGAAUAAAUGAUCCAAUAUUAUUGAUUAUAAGAUUAAGUUACCUUAGGGAUAACAGCGUAAUUUUUUUGGAGAGCUCAUAUCGAUAAAAAAGUUUGCGAC